rnacentral:rRNA from 1 species
UUUGAGCCCCCGAAACUAAGUGAGCUACUUCGGAAUAGUACCAAGAACAAACCCGUCUCUGUUGCAAAAGAGUGGGAUAAUUCCUAAGUAGAGGCGACAAACCUACCGCACCUAGAGAUAGCUGGUUAUUCAAGAAAAGAAUUUAAGUUCAACCUUAAGUUUAUACAUUAAACAAAAAAUACAAAACUUUAGAGCUAUUCAAAUAAGGCACAGCUUAUUUGAAACAGAAUACAACCUACAACACAGGGUAAAAUAUAACAAACAAGUAACAAGUGGGCCUAAAAGCAGCCACCUUUA